rnacentral:lncRNA from 1 species
AACCAUUAAAGAUGUUGCUAAUCUUCAGAAAUAAGAGGUGAAUCGUUUUUAAACGAUUUGAAAAAGAUAAGUAAUCUUAGUAAGUUUACAUUGACGGAUUGUGGCCUCUGAGUUUUCUAAACACCGCAUGCAAAGAAAGCAGUGCUUUUAAGGCCGAGCAUUUGAUUAAUAUGCAAAAAAAACAAAUUAAGCACGUAUGACAACUUGAACUUCAUAAACAGGAUCACUGCCGUUCUUCACGGCCAAUCGUUAUCACCACAAGAGUUUCAGUAGACAUGUGGGAUUGUCUUCGUAUUUCCUACUUCGUAUUUCAUAAUACAAGAAAUAAAUGACUGUUGUGUCUCUAAUUUAAACCACUAUUUAUUUUUAAGUUAUUCUAGGACGAUUAAAGCAAUCAAAUGAAAGGGCCGGCGAGAUGGCUCAGUAGGUAAAGGUGCUUGCUACCAAGUCCGAUGACCUGAGUUCAGUUCCUAGGAACCACACGGAAGGAAGAGAACCAACUUCCGGGAGUUGUCCUCUGACCUCCACACAUAUGCUAGGACACGCAGGCGGCCACACACACAUACACAGAAUAUUUAAAUGUAAAAAAGAAAAGCUAAUAAUCAAAAUAAAGAAAAGGCGAUCUGAGAUACACACAACAUAUUUUUACCUCUGUUCUGCAGCUCCGUAACUGCUUCGGAGAGCUUUCUCGGGUCUCGAUUUCCGCAGCCCAGGUUGUAACGAUUCUCCGGGGGUUGUUAAAGGCAACGUUGUGCUAUUUGGAGGGGGGACAACAGGAGGCAAAUGGCCUCUGCUUCUGCAUUGUCCGCUAAGAAUACUUGAGGCUCUUCUUCGGUCAGAAUUCUACUUCAUUGAAUUGUUAGAACAUUUCCAGUGGCUUGUCUGCUGUCGUUGUCAUCGUUGUUGUUAAUUGUUGUUCGAUCUGUAACUGCGGAAGCAUUUCUUCAUUGCGCCUGAAAUGGGAGACACUCAGACGUUACAAGUUGCAGUUUACAUCUUCUGUAGAACUUGGUCGCCCUAAGUUGCCAUGGGUACCUGGUCACUGCUGUCAGUGAGUUAAACUACAUGUGUCUAUAAUGUUCUGCACUCUAGCAGUUCUCUGUAAAGGGGGUAGGGUGAGGAUGAGGGGGGCUGCUUCCUCACCUGUUUGACAGCGUCUCCCCGACAGGGUGGUCGACGCUCGCUUCUUGACCUUUCCUCAUCUUUCCUGUUAAGGACAACUCAGGGGGAAACGUAGAACAAGCCUAGUCCGGUUACAGGUACACACAAGCUUGAAUCUCUUCUCUGCACUGAGACGGAAGUGGUGAGGUGCGUCACCACCCGCCACGUUUAAUACAGCAUCUUAUCAGCCAUAGAACUAGUAGGACAAUCUGUAAAACUUGGGGGAGGGCGAGUGACUGGAAGACAACGUGUCUGUCCGAAAGAGCAGACUCGAGUGAAAUGAGAUGGAUGUGGCAAGCUCUGUGGGGCUGCCCCCGAGAAAUAAAUGCUCUAGGCUCGAGGGUCGGUUUGCAGGUGUUAUCUGACUUUAGCACUUUACAAGCGAUUUUGUACUACGAAUGUUCGAGAUGGUUUAAUAUUUAUAACUGGUUUCUGAGGGGUCUGCUCUCGUCUACUGCAUGAGACAGGAAAACGUGUGUCCUUUUCAGUCUGUCAACAAUCAGGGGUGCCAAUGUUGGGAAGGGUGGGGAAAACAAAAACGAAAACCACCACAGGAUCGCUGAUCUGUAUGAGUGACGUUCUGGUACUUCUAGAUUUACAAUAAAUUUGUGGCUUUUUAUUUAA